GAUGAACGCUGGCGGCGUGCCUAAUACAUGCAAGUCGAGCGAACGGACGAGAAGCUUGCUUCUCUGAUGUUAGCGGCGGACGGGUGAGUAACACGUGGAUAACCUACCUAUAAGACUGGGAUAACUUCGGGAAACCGGAGCUAAUACCGGAUAAUAUUUUGAACCGCAUGGUUCAACAGUGAAAGACGGUCUUGCUGUCACUUAUAGAUGGAUCCGCGCUGCAUUAGCUAGUUGGUAAGGUAACGGCUUACCAAGGCAACGAUGCAUAGCCGACCUGAGAGGGUGAUCGGCCACACUGGAACUGAGGCACGGUCCAGACUCCUACAGGAGGCAGCAGUAGGGAAUCUUCCGCAAUGGGCGAAAGCCUGACGGAGCAACGCCGCGUGAGUGAUGAAGGUCUUCGGAUCGUAAAACUCUGUUAUUAGUGAAGAACAUAUGUGUAAGUAACUGUGCACAUCUUGACGGUACCUAAUCAGAAAGCCACGGCUAACUACGUG
rnacentral:rRNA from 1 species